rnacentral:rRNA from 1 species
GUGCCAGCCGCCGCGGUAAUACGGGAGGAUCCAAGCGUUAUCCGGAUUUAUUGGGUUUAAAGGGUGCGUAGGCGGCUUUUUAAGUCAGGGGUGAAAACUUGCGCUCAACCGUAAGCUUGCCUUUGAUACUGAGGAGCUUGAAUGCACUUGAGGUAGACGGAAUGUGACAAGUAGCGGUGAAAUGCAUAGAUAUGUCACAGAACACCAAUUGCGAAGGCAGCUUACUAAAGUGAGAUUGACGCUGAGGCACGAAAGCGUGGGGAUCGAAACAGGAUUAGAUACCCUGGUAGUCCACGCCCUAAACGAUGAAUACUCGAUGUUAGCGAUACACAGUUAGCGUCUAAGCGAAAGCGUUAAGUAUUCCACCUGGGGAGUACGCCCGCAAGGGUGAAACUCAAAGGAAUUGACGGGGGCCCGCACAAGCGGAGGAGCGUGUGGUUUAAUUCGAUGAUCACGCGAGGAACCUUACCCGGGUCUUGAAAGUUACUGAAGGUUCCAGA